rnacentral:lncRNA from 1 species
AAAGAAACGAUGGAUUAUCAAUUGCACCCAGCUCAAAAUGAGAGAAACCACCAAAUUUUGGUUUAUCAAUUUCGGUGGAUAUAAAGCACUUGCAAUUGAAAAUAAAUAAAUAAAAACAAGAGCAAAGAAACAAAAAAACAGUGGAUGGAGGCUCAACAAAGAAAAGAGCCUCCCCUACGACAUAAAACUUAUAUACUUCCCCUUAUCCAACAGUCCAUUCUGAAUGGAGGGUUAAGAUUGUCCCAAUCACAAUGUCACGUCUCUACACUAUUUGUUUUUAAAUUUUUUUUAUAAAUUAUUUUGACCCCAAAUUUUGGACGUCCAAUCCUCUAUUAAAC